rnacentral:rRNA from 1 species
GGCUGAGUGACGCGUAGGUGACCUGCCCCGAAGUGGGGGAUAACUGCCCGAAAGGGUGGCUAAUACCGCAUGUGGCGACGCUUUCAUUGGCGUCAUCAAAGCCGCGAGGCGCUUCGGGAGGGGCCUGCGUCCGAUUAGCUCGUUGGUGGGGUAACGGCUCACCAAGGCGACGAUCGGUAGGUGGUCUGAGAGGACGAUCACCCAGACUGGGACUGAGACGCGGCCCAGACUCCUACGGGAGGCAGCAGUCGGGAAUUUUGCUCAAUGGGGGAAACCCUGAAGCAGCAACGCCGCGUGCGGGAUGAAGGCCUUCGGGUUGUAAACCGCUUUUACCAGGGACGAUAAUGACGGUACCUGAUGAAUAAGUCACGGCUAACUACGUGCCAGCAGCCGCGUAAUACGUAGGUGACUAGCGUUGUCCGGAUUUACUGGGCGUAAAGAGCGCGCAGGCGGUCGUUCAAGUCGAGUGUGAAAGCCCCCGGCUCAACUGGGGAGGGUCAUUCGAUACUGAUCGACUUGAAGGCAGGAGAGGGAAGCGGAAUUCCCGGUGUAGUGGUGAAAUGCGUAGAUAUCGGGAGGAACACCAGUGGCGAAGGCGGCUUCCUGGCCUGUUCUUGACGCUGAGGCGCGAAAGCUAGGGGAGCAAACGGGAUUAGAUACCCCGGUAGUCCUAGCCGUAAACGAUGGACACUAGGUGUUGGUGGUAUCAACCCCACCAGUGCCGAAGCUAACGCAUUAAGUGUCCCGCCUGGGGAGUACGGCCGCAAGGCUAAAACUCAAAGGAAUUGACGGGGCCCCGCACAAGCAGCGGAGCGUGGGGUUUAAUUCGAUACAUACACGAAGAACCUUACCAGGGAUUGACAUGCUCAGAACUUUCGAGAGAUUGAAAGGUGCCUUUUGUGAAAAAAGGAGCUGAGACACAGGUGGUGCAUGGCUGUCGUCAGCUCGUGCCGUGAGGUGUCGAGUUAAGUCUUUGAACGAGCGCAACCCUUGUCUUUUGUUACCACUCCUUACGGAGGACUCAAAAGAGACUGCCGGAGUAAACCGGAGGAAGGAGAGGAUGACGUCAAGUCAGCAUGCCCCUUACAUCCUGGGCUACACGCGUAAUACAAUGGCAAAGACAAUAGGACGCGAACCCGCGAGGGGGAGCAAAUCUAGUAAACUUUGUCUCAGUUCGGAUUGAAGUCUGCAACUCGACUUCAUGAAGCCGGAAUCGCUAGUAAUCGCCGGUCAGCUAUACGGCGGUG